rnacentral:sRNA from 1 species
UUCAUACCCCUAUGAAAUGAAGUCCUCCAUUUACCUACUGAGCAGGUUCAGCACAGGCAACAGGAAAUGUUUCUCCAACACACAUGAUCUGCCAAUGUGCCUGAGUCCAGCCUUGGAGGGAACAGUGCUAGGGGUCAGACAGGAGUUCAGCCUCCAUGGCCUUCUCAGUCAUUGCUCCU